rnacentral:misc_RNA from 1 species
GCCGGUUCGUGUUGUGUGUCCCGCGCGCGACUUCCGCCUGAUCGACGCUCGUCUCUUCUCCGCGACUCGCGUCGAUACGUUGUCGACCUCCAGUGUUUUCGCGUCCUCCAUCAUUCAGAACGCGGUCACCGGGUCGAAUUUCGAAAACCGAAUCCGCGAGCAUCGAUCGAUCGAGUAUCAAGCUGGUCGCGGUACGUCGAUAAUCGUGCGAAAUAAGAAAGUACGCAGUGAACGAUCAUGGUGUGACUCGAGUGAUUAGACUGAUCUUUCGGAAAGAUCGACGAGGUUGACCGGUGGUUGUGUGGUGAUUGGUUUUGGUGGUGGUGCUUGAUACGCUCUUGGGUGUCGGAAACCCGUUGGCACCUGGGCCUCGUUUACAUCGGUUUACUCAUGCUGGGAGUUUUGAAGCGGCGCUGGAAGCCAUCAAAAAGGGCUUCCAGCGUCCGCGGACCCGAUUCGCCCCUGAGCUCGGAUCUGGCGCUUGAUAAGCCUCGCCCCAUACCAUCACCCAGGCAAAUCCACCCCUUGUACGGGGAGAAGGCCGGGCUUCUGGGCUACUGCGACCCGCUCGGUAACGCAGAGAAUUUCCCACCAGCCCCGAACAUCGUUGUCGAGGGUGGCAGAAUCGAGUUUGUGCGCCCCUCGCAGGAUGGCACCACGACACCCCGUAGGAACACCAUGUCUCGUGGCUCGCAGACCUUCAACGAUGAGUCCGAGAAGUCUGACCCUGCGAAGGUACGUCCCUGCCACUACAGCACCACCAGUUCCUCCCCGGCAUCGACGUGCAUCAACGAGAGCCUGGAAGAGCGAGUGCAAGAAUUGGAACAGGCCUUGCAAGCGGAGCGUCUGGCGGCUCAACGAGAUCGAGCGACCAUCACGAAGCUGCAACGACAAAUCAACAAGACAGAGGCCACGCAACGAGAUGUGGAACGCGAACGACGACAACGAAUGGAGGCCGAAGCUCGGGUACGCGAGGCUACGGCUAAAGCUGAGAGAGCACGCUCCAGGGUUCAUCAUCUUCAGGGAGAACUGGCCAGGAUGGAGGAGACGUCACGCCGGUUGCUGCAGCACAAGCACCGGGCCGAACAGCUGAAGAAAGAGAAAACUGCGCUCACGCUUUCUUACGAGGCACGCGUGCAUCAGUAUCAAGCACAGAUCUCGAAGCUGCAGCUGGAGAACGAGUCGAUGAGGGGUCAGCUGCACGGUUUGGAGGCUGCAUGUGCUGGUGAGGUGCAUGCUGCGCUGGUGGCACGUUUGGCGACCUUGGAAACGGAACACGCCGCCUUGGCGAGGGAUGCGGACGCUCAGCGUCGUCAGUACGAGCGGUGCUUGGACGACGUCGCCAACCAGGUGGUCCGCGCCCUUCUAUCCCAAAAGGGUCUGAGGGAAGAGAUCGGUGCAUUGCAGAGGCGCAUCCGCGAGCUCGAGGCUCAGAAUCGAGCGCUUUCAGGAUUAUUGGCCCAGGCCGCGAAUCCUGGAAGUCCGACAGAAUUGAUUCAAGGGAUCCUCGAAGCUGGACCAGCGGCAGUGGUAGCCGCCCUUGGUCUGGAUCCAGCUUGGGUUCCCUUGUCAAGGCCACGCUCGCUCAAUUUACAAAUACCAGUCAUGGCUGCCACGAAAUGUCGAAGGAACAGACCGUUGGUUGAAAUAACCGAGCACCAAAAUUCAGCCCAGAAGCCGUCAGAAGAGGAAGGUAGCGAGAGUCCAGAGAGCGGGAAUAGAGACGAGGGUUACUCAACGAUGUCCAGCGACGUGCAGGGUGAAGGUGCUCGACAAGAACCAUCCCGGGGGUUGGAGGACUUGAAGGAGGCGACGGACGAGACCGAGGCAGACGUUUCCCCGGAUGCACGACUGGUCGCCCUCGAUGCUGGUGAUCCAGACGUGUUGUUUUUGCCGUUGAAUCUUACCGUAGGAAUAAAUCCGCGUCACAGCUAUCCCCCGACCAAAGACUUGCUACCGUAUCAGCACGUGAUACGCAGCUUCUCUGACAGUCACCUGUGCUUGAGGCUCACCACCACGACCAACGUCACGCCGUACAAGCUACCGAGUCCCAUGGGAUCCUCUUCUCUGCUUCUGGUCGAGGAAGAAGGUUGGGAUGCCGAGUACGUGCAGCAGUGGCUUAGGUUGGACGACAGCAGAAGUGCUCAACAACAUCGAGAUCUACUCGAGUUGGAAUACGACCGAGCAGAACUGGAAGAUUGGAGUUUCUCGUUUUCCACCGAGGACCUUGUUCAAAACGAAUCCACGGUAUGGAAGGAACCCGCCGCCACCACCACCCCUGCGCUUCCAGCAAUCAAGGAACAUAAUCCUCUGGAAUUGGAAGAGGACGCGAACGAAUGCUUGUGGAAUGGUGCCAGUUACCUUGCUGAUAGAACAGGAGGCGAAUUGGUUGCGCUUCUCAUGGAUGCCCGGGCGUCUGGAUCAUGGCCAUACGCUACAAGUCCCGGUGCUUCCUGGAGCAGCGAGGAAGGAGCAUUUGAAAAUUCCAGCAAACGAUCUUCGGCGGCGUUAUCCGGCUGCAGCGACGAUCCAGACUCUCCUUCCAUUGGCACCGACUUCACCAGAGAUUUCUACAGACUAGUAAAGUUCGAGAGUACAAAGAGCUUGGCAAGCACAUCGUCGAGAAGCGGAAGACCACCGCCGGAUAGGGAUCAAGCUUUGCAAAGCGUACUGUCUUUUAUCGCCGAACAACAAAUGUACUUGGCCGAAUUACCAAACAAUCUGCUAGAACAUAACACUACGACUCUCGCAGCGGAAGUUCUAGAGGAAACCGAAAACAAGGAUGAAUCUGGAACCGAGGCGACGUGCACCGAAAUAGAAACGUCUGUCGAUCAAGAUAACAGCAACACGGAAAACGCUGUUGAAACGAGCAGUAACGACGAUUUGCUGGAUCAGAUACCUGUACCCUCCCUAGCACCGGAGGAGAGAAUAAUCAGCGCGGUAGCUUGUAAUGGUGGUGUCUCGUAUACCACAGUCGCGCCAUCUGAAUUGGGUGCUGUUCCUGAAGAAGACGAGGAAGCUGCUACUUCCUCCACGCCAAGCACGGUUGUAAGUCCAGCAAGAGCCCCGCUACUAGUCGAAGGUAGAGACCGAUCGCUGAGCUUUCACGAACGUGCCACGUCAAAGGACGUGAUAGACGAGUUGAAUCGAAUGAUCAGAAAGGGGGAAGAACACCCAGUCAACCAAGAUUCCCAGGUGCCGCUCGAAAAAUUGGAUCUCGCUUGCUGCUGUCCGACUGGAUGGGUUCACGUUGAACGAGAAAUUGACUUUACCGACCCAAAAGCAAGAGCCAAUCUUUUAGACGUGAUGCUAGAAAGCAGUGAAAGUUCUUCGGCGACAUCGAGCAGCGGAUCAGCCGGAAGUGACUCGGGGGAUGAACCACCGGAUUACCGUCACUUGCAUAGACUACAUCGAUACCGACGACAAAAGAAAGAUGGUAGCUCCUACGCGGUGUGCUUUGAUUGUCACAAGAAAAGCUACGUAGUUCGGCUUAGUGACGAUCAGUUUCUGUAACCGACAUGCCAGUUUGGAGGAAUCGUUUCACCGGGACCUAUUUUGGCCUGAUCCAACGUGAACUAGCCGGUAUAGGAAGAAAGAGAAAAGAGAUCAAGUGAGGUCUGAGGCAUGUUGACCCGCUGCGCUUGGUUUCUCAGCAUCGGCGGCCCAGGCACAUCGUGUGCUACGACUGCCGUCAACCUGGGGUUCUUCGAGGCCGUCGAUUAUCGGGCG